GAACAAUGGUUUCGGGACCACAAAUUCGACGUGAGAAAAUUCAUUUUUAUUAUAUUUAUAUGGUCUAAAAUUUCAUGGAAUGAUUUCGUGAAAAUCUCGUUCGAAAAUUUUGACGUUUGGACACUCAAUUUAGUUAAAAGGACUAAAUUGUAAACAGUGCAAAAGUUGAGUUCUACAUGUUAGAGGUGUCUAAUUGUUAUGAAAUUUUAAAUUGGAGGUCCUUAAAUGGUAAUUAGACCAUUGGUUAGUUGUUA
rnacentral:lncRNA from 1 species